UUGAACGCUGGCGGCAUGGCUAAAACAUGCAAGUCGAGCGCGAAAGUUGGAGCAAUCCAUGAGUAGAGCGGCGAAAGGGUGAGUAAUAGGUUUCUACGUGCCUCAAGGUCGAGGAUAGCCAGGGGAAACUCUGGGUAAUACUCGAUGUGAUCGAGAGAUCAAAGGCUUGCCGCCUUGAGAGCGGGGAACCUCCUAUCAGCUAGUUGGUGAGGUAACGGCUCACCAAGGCUUUGACGGGUAGCGGGUGUGAGAGCAUGGCCCGCCACAUCGAAACUGAGACACGGCCCAGACUCCUACGGGAGGCAGCAGUGGGGAAUCUUGCGCAAUGGGCGAAAGCCUGACGCAGCGACGCCGCGUGAGGGAUGACGGCCUUCGGGUUGUAAACCGUCUUUCAGCUCCGACGAAGCGAAAGUGACGGUAGGAGCAGAAGAAGCACCGGCCAACUACGUGCCAGCAGCCGCGGUAAUU
rnacentral:rRNA from 1 species